UGGGAAAGGGCGUGCGAGGGAGGGAUCCAUCUUUGUCCAGCGCCGCCACACACAGCGAGGCGGGGAGGAAGCGCCUGACGCCCGAUGGGCCGUGUCCAAAUGCAGUGACGUCUGGAAGAGCUGCGAGCUGGGAACAUGCACGAAACCAGAUGACUUCACCCUGGAAAGCGCACGGUGCCUGAGCACGGCUGUCGCAGCCCAGCAGCGCCAGGGGUGGGGGGGUCAGUGACGCACGUGUCCAGGGCAGCGUGUUCGAGAGGGGCCAGCCGGGUCAAGCACCGCGGGCCUUCGUGGCCACUGGGGUCUGCUGGCUUUCGCGCGAGGCAAAUGAUUUGCUCUGGAUGCCCCCUGAGGGGAGGACACGGGCCUGCCCCGAGGCAGGAGCCCGAGCCCCAGGCCCAUGCCCUGUCUGCUGGGCUGCAGCCAUCUGGUCUCCAGUAGUUUGGUGGGGCCAUCUGUGCUCCUCCUCUGUAUAGUGCAGCCAUGCGGGGAGGGACAAGUGGGGUCUCCACAGGACACGUGGGGUCCCCCCCAGCCCCUCUGGGGCUGCUGGCUUGCCCCCUGGGUGAAACCUGGCCAGGCCCAGGACCUGGGACUUUACAUCAGGGAGAAGGUGGCAGUGUUGGACCACGUCAUGUUGGUAAUUAAGGCCUGCUUUGGGCAGCAGCAGCAGAGCACCAGGCACAGGUCCAGACUCUUAGAGCUGCUGUUCAUCUCGUGUUCCCCUGCUUUGCUCCCCAUCCAGCCAGUGACACUUCACGUGGCAUUUGCCUCGCAGGCCGACAGCUGCUCUCUGCCGCAAGGCAGAGGGCUGCUGUCCCUGUAAGCGGCAAACACCGCCGCGCUCCAGGGGACAGGGAGGGCUCCAGCUGCCCGGCCCUGCUGGGUUGCUCCCUGCAGCCGGGCUUGUGGGGACCCUGCGAAGGGUGCUGCUGUCCACUGCACCCGGCACAACGGUCCCUGCCUGCGUCCUCGUGCAUGGGCUGGGGCGCUCUGCUCCCUCCCACACACAUCUGUGCAGCACUUGGCCCGCGCUGGGCAUGUUCCUUGUCCCUGUGCACAUACCAGUUCAGAUGGCUGCAUCCAGGAGACGCGCAGAAGCCAGCAGCUCGCACUCAGAGACCCAAGCCCUCGGCAGAGAGACGGACUUGCCUGGAUGGGUCCUGGCACGCGCAGGUGUGCCAACAGUGGGGCCAGAGCCUGACAGCUUGCUGCCCAAGGCCCUCUGCUCUGCACGCUGUUGGAGGUCCAGUGGCACCAGCACUGAUGGUGCCCUUUCUCUUGGCUGGGGGCUCCUCGGCUCCGUGCCCAGCGCUGAGGACCGCAAGUGCCUCUAGAUCCUGGCGAGAGGCACUAGAAGCAUGUGCCUUGCUGCUGCAGCUCGGAGCGGGCAGCAAAGCAUGGCGCUUUCUCCUGGCAAGACCAAAGCACGGGGGCUUUGUCCGAAGGGGUUGUUAAUGCAGAACCCCGAGGGGUUGCUGGCCAGGCCCAGGUGUGGGAGGACUGCCCAGGGCAGAUGAGGUGAGUGCGGGCACCUGUUUCUGCACCACGCGGGCUGAAACCAAGCUGUGGCUUCGCUGCCCGGCGAAGAAGUGCACAACUUACCUGCGCUUAACGGAGGCUGAGCGGAGCGGGCAGCUUGCAUCUGGACCGGCCCCAGAUCACCUGUACCUUGCAGGGCUCCUGCAGCUUGGCCUGGGGAGGUGAAGUGUUGCUGCUUUUCCCCAGUGCCUACAGCCUGCACUGAUCUCCCCACAGCUCCGGGCUCGCCUGUGCCAGGUCAUCGUGGAGGCGUCCAGCGAGGCCAGUGGAGCAGACCAAAGGAUGCAGCGGAGCAGGAGGAGGGCGAGUUUGCUCAACUGCUUGUUGCCUGGCCCAGACAUGGACACGCCCCGUCCAGGAGUGACUGGUUUGAGGCCUGACUGGAGGAACGGGGUGGUUCUGCCUGGCACCCGGCAGCUGUGCUCCCUUCGGCAAUCAGCCCUGGGCCUAGGAUCCAGCGCAGGGGUGGGAUGACCAUGCCAGCUCUCUGCUCGGUGCAUGGCUUGGGAUGAGGCCUUUCCCAGAGCAUCCUCUUCUCUUACCCCAGGCCUGCAGGACCGUUCCCACCACUUCCCUGCAGAGACCCCUUGCUGGUCCCUUCUCCCCUGCCACAGCUGUAGCAUCUCUCCCUUUGGGGAAGGGGCUGUGCUGUAGCUUGUUCACUUGCACGUGUCCCUGUGCCUCCCCUGCAUCUGUUGCCUUGGCGACCUGUGUGGCCAUCUUGCUGGAGCUGGCCGUGCAGCGAUCCAGCCCUUGGGGCUGUGCUGCCUCAGCUGCUUGUGCUAAACUCCCAAUUAAAUCCCCUUCCAGAACAAACUUGCCCCCGGUCAGCAAGGGCCCGUUUCCAGCAUUGACUGACUCCUUAAUCUAUACAAGCCCUGCUUGCAAAGGAGGAGCAGAGCAGACUAAUGCCAUCCGCACUGUGGGGGUGGCUUGGCCUGGGCUCCGGUAGCGCUCCGCAGCGUGGACGUGAGAGGCAGGAAAGCUGCCCACAGCCCGGUCUGCACCAAUGUAACAGUCUUGGCGGGGCAGGGCCCGCUCCCUGGGCAGAGCAGGUACCUCUGGGUGGGGCCAUGGGAGAUGGAGGUUGUCCCACAUCCAGUCUGCACCCGGGCAGCCUGGAAGAGGGGGUCUUUAAUCUGCCUGGGAGGCCCCAUGUCGGGGAGAUGGACCCUCUCAGGGUAGCGAGCGAUGCCCAGGCUGAAAGCAUGGGGCAUCUGCAACACGAGCGCUCAUGGCAUUGCAGCGGCCUCGUUUCCAGGCGCCGAGUGCUGGCUCCACUUGGAAGGGCUGUUUGGUGGCUGUGCAUCGGCCCCUGUGUAGGUGCGAGAGGCCAUGAGCUCUCUCUACGUUGGCCAGGGCAUGGCAACUGCUUCCGGGCCUGAGCCCGGCUGGACUCGGGCAGUCCUGGAACCCCGAUGCCCUCGGUGUAUCCCAGGGCACCUGGGGUCUGUCCGGGCAGCUCAGCCGUCUGCUGUAGCACAGCAGCGCUGGGGCCCUUCCUGCACUCGUGAGCCCCGAUGGGGCAAGACCCGCAGAGAAGGGGGCCAGUGGCCUCCUCGGGAAGAGCCUGCAUGUCGGGGGAUGCAGCUGGCUCUGCUGAGGAUGGAGCAGAGAUGGAGUGCAUCUCUGCUUGGAGAUGCUCAAGAGCAUUUCAAGGCCUCAUCCAUCACUGCUGUCAAGGCGAUGAACGAGACCCAAAUCGACGUGAAGGUCAUGGGCAGGCGGCAAUACGGCACGGGCACCGCUGCCACGUACCAGCUCCCAGCCGGGUCCCCUCAGCCUUCCCUCCCGCGUGCCGGCUGGCGGGGAGCAGGGUGAGCCUGGCUGUAGUGAGCCGCAUCCUGCUCGGGCAGGCUCUGUCGCUUCCUGUGGCGCGUGACCCGCGCGGCCGUGCUAAUACGAGCGCUGGUGCAAAUUCCAGCCUCCGUGAACACCGUUGUUCUCGCUUCAGUGAGUCAGGCCUCUAGCUCAGCACGGGCGGAUUUCCUCCAGGCACCGUCGCCAAAGGGUGGAUAUUCACUUGCCCGCAACAGAUGGAUGGUGCUGGUAUGACGGCCCUGCCAGCCCGCUCUGCUCUUUGUUUCUACAGUGCAAUCCCACAUUACAUAUGUCUCCCUGGCACUCUUCUCUGUGGCCCGGAGUAUUUGGGGAGGUCUUGCCACCUCUCCCCGAGUGGCGCGGGGUCCUGAGCAGUGGGCCGCGAUUCGUGACUUGCCACGGGGCGUCCCAGGAGCAGACACAAGUGUUCCCCCUCCCUGGGCCUGUGCGUGGUGGACCUGGGCCCAGUUCGCAGAGCAAGACUGAUCCCCAUUUUGGCAAACUUGUAAUUAACUUAAAACAAAUGCGCUGGAAGUGCCGGCCCAUUAGCAGCCUCUGCUGCCUGAGACAUCCCUGCUAAUUACCCAGCAUGUCAGCCCGGGCGGCCUGCAGAUAGCGCAGCUCCCUAUUUGCAUUUAAAUUAAAAAACAUAUUUUAAAAAUAAA